CAUUAAGAAGCUAUAUGACAGCGAUAGCCUUUUAAGCUGUAGACAGGUGGCCGCAACCACCCUUAAUGA
rnacentral:tRNA from 1 species